rnacentral:tmRNA from 1 species
GGGGACGCGUGGAUUCGACAGAAGCUACCUCAACGGAAUUGCAAGCCGAGGUGUCGUUAUCUCGUUAAUCAAACGACAAAAAAGUAACUGGCAAACAGCCCGUUGCACUGGCUGCUUAAAAAAUAAGCGCCACGCUUGUCUUUAUCGUUCCUCAUGCGCAAAGAUAGGUGCCAACUUAUUUGAGGUAUAGUGGCCUUGAUACCGAUAGAGGUGACUGAAUUUUUAUCGGUUGCGGUACUUGAAUACUGUGCUAGUGACGAAUCAAGUAAGUAAGUAAACAAUAUUGCUAGAUAAGCUUGUAGUACAUUUCGCUAGAGAUGCUUUUGGACAGGGGGUUCGACCCCCCCUCGUCUCCACCA